rnacentral:rRNA from 1 species
UAAGCCUGUGAAGGUGUGUCGUGAGGCAUGCUGGAGGUAUCAGAAGUGCGAAUGCUGACAUAAGUAACGAUAAAGCGGGUGAAAAGCCCGCUCGCCGGAAGACCAAGGGUUCCUGUCCAACGUUAAUCGGGGCAGGGUGAGUCGACCCCUAAGGCGAGGCCGAAAGGCGUAGUCGAUGGGAAACGGGUUAAUAUUCCCGUACUUGGUGUUACUGCGAAGGGGGGACGGAGAAGGCUAUGUUGGCCGGGCGACGGUUGUCCCGGUUUAAGCGUGUAGGUGUGUGUUCCAGGUAAAUCCGGUUCACUUUAACACUGAGGCGUGACGACGAGGCACUACGGUGCUGAAGCAACAAAUGCCCUGCUUCCAGGAAAAGCCUCUAAGCAUCAGGUAACAUCAAAUCGUACCCCAAACCGACACAGGUGGUCAGGUAGAGAAUACCAAGGCGCUUGAGAGAACUCGGGUGAAGGAACUAGGCAAAAUGGUGCCGUAACUUCGGGAGAAGGCACGCUGACACGUAGGUGAAGUGAUUUACUCAUGGAGCUGAAGUCAGUCGAAGAUACCAGCUGGCUGCAACUGUUUAUUAAAAACACAGCACUGUGCAAACACGAAAGUGGACGUAUACGGUGUGACGCCUGCCCGGUGCCGGAAGGUUAAUUGAUGGGGUCAGCGCAAGCGAAGCUCCUGAUCGAAGCCCCGGUAAACGGCGGCCGUAACUAUAACGGUCCUAAGGUAGCGAAAUUCCUUGUCGGGUAAGUUCCGACCUGCACGAAUGGCGUAAUGAUGGCCAGGCUGUCUCCACCCGAGACUCAGUGAAAUUGAACUCGCUGUGAAGAUGCAGUGUACCCGCGGCAAGACGGAAAGACCCCGUGAACCUUUACUAUAGCUUGACACUGAACAUUGAGCCUUGAUGUGUAGGAUAGGUGGGAGGCUUUGAAGUGUGGACGCCAGUCUGCAUGGAGCCGACCUUGAAAUACCACCCUUUAAUGUUUGAUGUUCUAACGUGGACCCGUGAUCCGGGUUGCGGACAGUGUCUGGUGGGUAGUUUGACUGGGGCGGUCUCCUCCUAAAGAGUAACGGAGGAGCACGAAGGUUGGCUAAUCCUGGUCGGACAUCAGGAGGUUAGUGCAAUGGCAUAAGCCAGCUUGACUGCGAGCGUGACGGCGCGAGCAGGUGCGAAAGCAGGUCAUAGUGAUCCGGUGGUUCUGAAUGGAAGGGCCAUCGCUCAACGGAUAAAAGGUA